GGUGAACGCUGGCGGCAUGCCUAAUACAUGCAAGUCGAACGGAAGGACAGUAAGAUUGCGCCCCUGCCGGUGGCGGCUGACGGGCGGGUAACGAAUACAUCGGCUACCUCUAUUUCUGGGGGAACUACGGGAGACCGGAGCUGCUACCGGCGAAUAUGUUCUACCGCAUGGUUCAAUAGAUCAUGACAGUUUUGCUGUCACUUUUAGAUGAUUCCGCGCCGGAUUAGCUAGUUGGUAAGGUAACGGCACACCAAGGCUACGAUGCGUAGCCGACCUGAGAGGAUGAUCGGCCACACUGGAACUGAGACACGGUCCAGACUCCUACGGGAGGCAGCAGUGGGGAAUAUUGCGCAAUGGGCGAAAGCCUGAUGCAGCAAUGCCGCGUGAGUGAUGAAGGUCUUCGGGUCGUAAAGCUCUGUUAUUAGGGAAGAACAACUGCGUAAGAAUCUAUGGCCGUUCUGACGGUACCCAAAGAGAAAGCAACGGCUAACUACGUG
rnacentral:rRNA from 1 species